AUCGUUGGACUGCGGGAGAUACUGUUGGGCUAGGAGGCGGGAGAAGCCGACGGUAUUUCCGGGGUAGGGGUAAAAUCCUAUAAUCCCGGGAAGACCACAGUGGCGUAGGCGGUCGGCUAGCACGCGCUCAACGGUGAGGGACGAAAGCUGGGGGAGCAAACCGGAUUAGAUACCCGGAUAGUCCCAGCUGUAAACGAUGCGGGCUAGGUGUUGAAGUGGCCACGAGCCACUUCAGUGCCGCAGGGAAGCCAUUAAGCCCGCCGCCUGGGGAGUACGGCCGCAAGGCUGAAACUUAAAGGAAUUGGCGGGGGAGCACUACAAGGGGUGAAGCUUGCGGUUCAAUUGGAGUCAACGCCGGGAACCUUACCGGGGGCGACAGCAGGAUGAAAGCCAGAUUGAAGGUCUUGCUGGACGAGCUGAGAGGAGGUGCAAUGGCCGUCGCCAGUUCGUGCCGUGAGGUGU
rnacentral:rRNA from 1 species